rnacentral:rRNA from 1 species
GACGAACGCUGGCGGCGUGCUUAACACAUGCAAGUCGAACGGUGACCCAGGGCUUGCCCUGGUGAUCAGUGGCGAACGGUGAGUAACACGUGGGCAACCUGCCCCUGACUUCGGGAUAACUCCUCGAAAGAGGAGCUAAUACCGGAUACGACCACUUCGGACAUCCGAUGGUGGUGGAAAGUUUUUCGGUCAGGGAUGGGCCCGCGGCCUAUCAGCUAGUUGGUGGGGUAAUGGCCUACCAAGGCGACGACGGGUAGCCGGCCUGAGAGGGCGACCGGCCACACUGGGACUGAGACACGGCCCAGACUCCUACGGGAGGCAGCAGUGGGGAAUAUUGCGCAAUGGGCGAAAGCCUGACGCAGCGACGCCGCGUGAGGGAUGAAGGCCUCGGUUGUAACCUACGUUCAGCAGGACGAAGCGAAAGUGACGGUACCUGCAGAAGAAGACACCGGCUAACUACGUGCCAG